rnacentral:rRNA from 1 species
GUCAGCAGCACACCACCCUGCAUCCCACUGCUGGCUUGCUUCUGAAGCUAAGCAGGGUUGGUCCUGGAUGGGAGACCAGAUGCUGCUGGAA